rnacentral:rRNA from 1 species
AAAUUGAAGAGUUUGAUCAUGGCUCAGAUUGAACGCUGGCGGCAGGCCUAACACAUGCAAGUCGAGCGGAAACGAGUUAUCUGAACCUUCGGGGAACGAUAACGGCGUCGAGCGGCGGACGGGUGAGUAAUGCCUAGGAAAUUGCCCUGAUGUGGGGGAUAACCAUUGGAAACGAUGGCUAAUACCGCAUGAUGCCUACGGGCCAAAGAGGGGGACCUUCGGGCCUCUCGCGUCAGGAUAUGCCUAGGUGGGAUUAGCUAGUUGGUGAGGUAAGGGCUCACCAAGGCGACGAUCCCUAGCUGGUCUGAGAGG